rnacentral:rRNA from 1 species
AGAGUUUGAUCCUGGAUCAGGAUGAACGCUGGCGGCGUGCCUAAUACAUGCAAGUCGAGCGAACGGACGAGAAGCUUGCUUCUCUGAUGUUAGCGGCGGACGGGUGAGUAACACGUGGAUAACCUACCUAUAAGACUGGGAUAACUUCGGGAAACCGGAGCUAAUACCGGAUAAUAUUUUGAACCGCAUGGUUCAAAAGUGAAAGACGGUCUUGCUGUCACUUAUAGAUGGAUCCGCGCUGCAUUAGCUAGUUGGUAAGGUAACGGCUUACCAAGGCAACGAUGCAUAGCCGACCUGAGAGGGUGAUCGGCCACACUGGAACUGAGACACGGUCCAGACUCCUACGGGAGGCAGCAGUAGGGAAUCUUCCGCAAUGGGCGAAAGCCUGACGGAGCAACGCCGCGUGAGUGAUGAAGGUCUUCGGAUCGUAAAACUCUGUUAUUAGGGAAGAACAUAUGUGUAAGUAACUGUGCACAUCUUGACGGUACCUAAUCAGAAAGCCACGGCUAACUACGUGCCAGCAGCCGCGGUAAUACGUAGGUGGCAAGCGUUAUCCGGAAUUAUUGGGCGUAAAGCGCGCGUAGGCGGUUUUUUAAGUCUGAUGUGAAAGCCCACGGCUCAACCGUGGAGGGUCAUUGGAAACUGGAAAACUUGAGUGCAGAAGAGGAAAGUGGAAUUCCAUGUGUAGCGGUGAAAUGCGCAGAGAUAUGGAGGAACACCAGUGGCGAAGGCGACUUUCUGGUCUGUAACUGACGCUGAUGUGCGAAAGCGUGGGGAUCAAACAGGAUUAGAUACCCUGGUAGUCCACGCCGUAAACGAUGAGUGCUAAGUGUUAGGGGGUUUCCGCCCCUUAGUGCUGCAGCUAACGCAUUAAGCACUCCGCCUGGGGAGUACGACCGCAAGGUUGAAACUCAAAGGAAUUGACGGGGACCCGCACAAGCGGUGGAGCAUGUGGUUUAAUUCGAAGCAACGCGAAGAACCUUACCAAAUCUUGACAUCCUUUGACAACUCUAGAGAUAGAGCCUUCCCCUUCGGGGGACAAAGUGACAGGUGGUGCAUGGUUGUCGUCAGCUCGUGUCGUGAGAUGUUGGGUUAAGUCCCGCAACGAGCGCAACCCUUAAGCUUAGUUGCCAUCAUUAAGUUGGGCACUCUAAGUUGACUGCCGGUGACAAACCGGAGGAAGGUGGGGAUGACGUCAAAUCAUCAUGCCCCUUAUGAUUUGGGCUACACACGUGCUACAAUGGACAAUACAAAGGGCAGCGAAACCGCGAGGUCAAGCAAAUCCCAUAAAGUUGUUCUCAGUUCGGAUUGUAGUCUGCAACUCGACUACAUGAAGCUGGAAUCGCUAGUAAUCGUAGAUCAGCAUGCUACGGUGAAUACGUUCCCGGGUCUUGUACACACCGCCCGUCACACCACGAGAGUUUGUAACACCCGAAGCCGGUGGAGUAACCUUUUAGGAGCUAGCCGUCGAAGGUGGGACAAAUGAUUGGGGUGAAGUCGUAACAAGGUAGCCGUAUCGGAAGGUGCGGCUGGAUCACCU